rnacentral:rRNA from 1 species
AUUGAACGCUGGCGGCAUGCCUUACACAUGCAAGUCGAACGGCAGCACGGGGCAACCUGGUGGCGAGUGGCGAACGGGUGAGUAAUGCAUCGGAACGUACCUUUCAGUGGGGGAUAACGUAGCGAAAGUUACGCUAAUACCGCAUAUUCUGUGAGCAGGAAAGCAGGGGAUCGCAAGACCUUGCGCUGAUUGAGCGGCCGAUGUCAGAUUAGCUAGUUGGUGAGGUAAAGGCUCACCAAGGCGGCGAUCUGUAGCGGGUCUGAGAGGAUGAUCCGCCAAACUGGAACUGAGACACGGUCCAGACUCCUACGGGAGGCAGCAGUGGGGAAUUUUGGACAAUGGGGGCAACCCUGAUCCAGCCAUGCCGCGUGAGUGAAGAAGGCCUUCGGGUUGUAAAGCUCUUUCGGCCGGGAAGAAAUCGCACGGGCUAAUACCCUGUGUGGAUGACGGUACCGGAAUAAGAAGCACCGGCUAACUACGUGCCAGCCGCCGCGGUAAGAC